GGUUGCGAUCAUACCAGCACUAAUGCACCGGAUCCCAUCAGAACUCCGCAGUUAAGCGUGCUUGGGCGAGAGUAGUACUAGGAUGGGUGACCCCCUGGGAAGUCCUCGUUUUGCAACCCC
rnacentral:rRNA from 1 species